rnacentral:misc_RNA from 1 species
UGAGUUGUUCCGGACUUGCUCUCGAAGCGGGCUCACCGCAUAUUUGUGCGGUCAACUGUUUCGGAGCCUGUCUCUUGAGCGUCCCGCCCGAUGCACAUAUUUAGCUUGGGCGGUGUGAUGAAUGGGUUGGUGCCUGUGUUGCUACCCUUUUUGGGACAAUGUUUGUUUUGUGACAACGGCAUGUCAUGUUGCCUUCGAUUAUGUUUUUGAGAAAGUUGCGUUGGCUAUUGAAACAUCGGCUUUGUUGGGGAGCACAAUUGAUGGGUCUCGACUCGUCUGCAGCUCGCUUCAUAUUAUAUGAGCAGCUCUUUCGGAUACGGUGGCUAUGUGGGUUCUUGUGGUCCUCUUCGGUCCGCAUGCGACCUCGUAGUUCACCCGUAACAGUUCAUCGUGCGGUUGCAUCUUGUGCCAUCUUUGCGUUCCCGUUUUUGCUCUCGUGCCGGAGCAAAGGCGGGUCGUGGGGAUGCAGUUGCUGGCUUACGGGGGCGGUGCUGUACGUGUGGGAGUUCUAUGUUAUAUUAGUGAUCGCCAUUGCGUGCGUGGGUAUAGGUAUUCCGUCCGGGAGUGCCUCAGCAGCUCGCAGGCUCACAUUUUUGACUUGCUACCUGGUUGAUCCUGCCAGUAUCUA